UUUUUAGUGUAAGUAUGGCCCAUGUAAUAUUUGGGACAUAUUUAUACUAAAA
rfam:Tupaia chinensis contig61082, whole genome shotgun sequence.